UUCCUACGGGAGGCAGCAGUGAGGAAUAUUGGACAAUGGGCGAGAGCCUGAUCCAGCCAUGCCGCGUGCAGGAAGACUGCCCUAUGGGUUGUAAACUGCUUUUAUACGGGAAGAAACACCUCCACGCGUGGGGGCUUGACGGUACCGUAAGAAUAAGGAUCGGCUAACUCCGUGCCAGCAGCCGCGGUAAUACGGAGGAUCCAAGCGUUAUCCGGAAUCAUUGGGUUUAAAGGGUCCGUAGGUGGACGGUUAAGUCAGAGGUGAAAUCCUGCAGCUCUACUGUAGAAUUGCCUUGAUACUGGUCGUCUUGAGUCAUUGUGAAGUGGUUGGAAUAUGUAGUGUAGCGGUGAAAUGCAUAGAUAUUACAUAGAACACCGAUUGCGAAGGCAGAUCACUAACAAUGUACUGACACUGAUGGACGAAAGCGUGGGGAGCGAACAGGAUUAGAUACCCUGGUAGUCCACGCCGUAAACGAUGGUCACUAGCUGUUCGAACUUCGGUUUGAGUGGCUAAGCGAAAGUGAUAAGUGACCCACCUGGGGAGUACGUUCGCAAGAAUGAAACUCAAAGGGAAUUGACGGAA
rnacentral:rRNA from 1 species